AGUCGAGCGAACGGACGAGAAGCUUGCUUCUCUGAUGUUAGCGGCGGACGGGUGAGUAACACGUGGAUAACCUACCUAUAAGACUGGGAUAACUUCGGGAAACCGGAGCUAAUACCGGAUAAUAUUUUGAACCGCAUGGUUCAAAAGUGAAAGACGGUCUUGCUGUCACUUAUAGAUGGAUCCGCGCUGCAUUAGCUAGUUGGUAAGGUAACGGCUUACCAAGGCAACGAUGCAUAGCCGACCUGAGAGGGUGAUCGGCCACACUGGAACUGAGACACGGUCCAGACUCCUACGGGAGGCAGCAGUAGGGGAUCUUCCGCAAUGGGCGAAAGCCUGACGGAGCAACGCCGCGUGAGUGAUGAAGGUCUUCGGAUCGUAAAACUCUGUUAUUAGGGAAGAACAUAUGUGUAAGUAACUGUGCACAUCUUGACGGUACCUAAUCAGAAAGCCACGGCUAACUACGUGCCAGCAGCCGCGGUAAUACGUAGGUGGCAAGCGUUAUCCGGAAUUAUUGGGCGUAAAGCGCGCGUAGGCGGUUUUUUAAGUCUGAUGUGAAAGCCCACGGCUCAACCGUGGAGGGUCAUUGGAAACUGGAAAACUUGAGUGCAGAAGAGGAAAGUGGAAUUCCAUGUGUAGCGGUGAAAUGCGCAGAGAUAUGGAGGAACACCAGUGGCGAAGGCGACUUUCUGGUCUGUAACUGACGCUGAUGUGCGAAAGCGUGGGGAUCAAACAGGAUUAGAUACCCUGGUAGUCCACGCCGUAAACGAUGAGUGCUAAGUGUUAGGGGGUUUCCGCCCCUUAGUGCUGCAGCUAACGCAUUAAGCACUCCGCCUGGGGAGUACGACCGCAAGGUUGAAACUCAAAGGAAUUGACGGGGACCCGCACAAGCGGUGGAGCAUGUGGUUUAAUUCGAAGCAACGCGAAGAACCUUACCAAAUCUUGACAUC
rnacentral:rRNA from 1 species